GAUGAACGCUGGCGGCGUGCCUAAUACAUGCAAGUCGAGCGAACGGACGAGAAGCUUUCUUCUCUGAUGUUAGCGGCGGACGGGUGAGUAACACGUGGAUAACCUACCUAUAAGACUGGGAUCACUUCGGGAAACCUGAGCUAAUACCGGAUAAUAUUUUGAACCGCAUGGUUCAUAAGUGCAAGACGGUCUUGCUGUCCCUUAUAGAUGGAUCCUCGCUGCAUUAGCUAGUUGGUAAGGUAACGGCUUACCAAGGCAACGAUGCAUAGCCGACCUGAGAGGGUGAUCGGCCACACUGGAACUGAGACACGGUCCAGACUCCUACGGGAGGCAGCAGUAGGGAAUCUUCCGCAAUGGGCGAAAGCCUGACGGAGCAACGCCGCGUGAGUGAUGAAGGUCUUCGGAUCGUAAAACUCUGUUAUUAGGGAAGAACAGAAGUGUAAGUAACUGUGCACGUCUUGACGGUACCUAAUCAGAAAGCCACGGCUAACUACGUG
rnacentral:rRNA from 1 species